rnacentral:rRNA from 1 species
GUACACACCGCCCGUCGCUACUACCGAUUGGAUGGUUGGGUGAGGAGGUGGGAGAGUGAGGGAUGGUCGCUGACCGACUCUUGCCUGAACACACCCAAACCCUAUCAUCUAGAGGAAGUAAAAGUCGUAACAAGGUUUCCGUAGGUGAACCUGCAGAAGGAUCA